GGCCCGUUAGCUCAGUUGGUUAGAGCGUCGUGCUAAUAACGCGAAGGUCGUGGGUUCGAUCCCCCCACGGGCCA
rfam:Helobdella robusta unplaced genomic scaffold HELROscaffold_2, whole genome shotgun sequence.